UUAAUUGAAGAGUUUGAUCAUGGCUCAGAUUGAACGCUGGCGGCAGGCCUAACACAUGCAAGUCGAGCGGCAGCACAGAGGAACUUGUUCCUUGGGUGGCGAGCGGCGGACGGGUGAGUAAUGCCUGGGAAAUUGCCCGGUAGAGGGGGGAUAACCAUUGGAAACGAUGGCUAAUACCGCAUAACCUCGCAAGAGCAAAGCAGGGGACCUUCGGGCCUUGCGCUACCGGAUAUGCCCAGGUGGGAUUAGCUAGUUGGUGAGGUAAGGGCUCACCAAGGCGAC
rnacentral:rRNA from 1 species